rnacentral:misc_RNA from 1 species
AGGUCACUCACUCAUCACGAAAUCUCCGAAACUAUAACACCUACAAACUUGAAAUUUGGCAGGUAGGCUCCUUAUAGGACGUAGACAUCCGUUAAGAACGGAUUUUACGAUACUCGACCCCUAAGGGGGUAAAACGGGGGUUGGAAGUUUGUAUGAAAGUCCUAUGUUUUUGAAGUAAGAGAUUUGAAAUUUAAAAUGUAUGCAUGUAAUGUAGAGAGGUUUUAUAAAAAUAACUAUUAAAUUAUACUAAAUUGUGCCUUUCUAAAGCUACUCAGUUUGAUAAGCAUUUCAAGUGACUGAAAUAAAAAAAUAAUUUGCGUUAAACAUCUUAAUAGUAAUGCAUAUCUUCAUAACCACGCGGACGUAGUCGCAGGCGACA